GAGAGGGUACCUUGGCAGAUGGUGUAGGUGAUCUUACCCUUUGUAGGGUCGAGAUGGCAAACAAGAGGGGGGGUGAAUAGUCCUUUCUAAAAAUAAUCACACCGACUAACCGAAACAAAAGCGGAAUUAUACUUAUCGGUCUAGUCAAGACUACACCCCUCUACUUAUUAUUUCAAGCACCUAAACAGUUAACUGAUUAUGCUACUAAGGUAUCAGACUAGGAAGCCCACCUAAAUAAGUCUAGGUUACAAGGUCACACAAACUUAAGAAACUAGUACUUUAAG
rnacentral:lncRNA from 1 species